CAGCUUCAUUCUUGAAGUCAGUGAGAGCAAGAACCCACCAAUUCCGGACACAACUUGAUUAGGCUUAAACUUCUCCUUUAAAGGCAUUCCUUCCGGGAUUACCUCACGGUUCCCAGGAGAAGAGGAGGAGAAGAAUGAGCAAUGGAUGUGUUGUUGACUGUCCUCCCUUUUGAAGCUGUAUCCUUUGUCCCAGCCUCAGCUCUGGGGUCACGUUGAUUUGUCACGGCAGCCCCACUGCAUGCUGGAAAGAAGUGUUCAUGGUACUUUACCCUAUUCUAAAAUAACGAGGUGACUGAAGGCCCUACUGUGUAAGAGGAAGCAUUCUCUUCAAGCCCUAUCACCAACCCUUUCUGAUAGCACCCACUUCAGAGACAACCUAUGGUGAGUUUGGUGUGCAUGUUUCUGGAUAAUAUUUUGUAUUUUAACAUAAACAUAUACAUGAAUAAUACAUAUUUUAUACAAGAAUAUUUAAAAAUUGAUAUAUUUCUAACAUAUGCAAAGAUAUAGGUUAGAUUUUUUUCUGUUCUUCUAAUAGUUACCAAUAAUAAACAGCCAAAUUUAAUUAAUAUACAGUAAUAGUAAUACAUUCUAAAGUAAAUCUGCAUAUACAUUUCUUUUCUGAAGAAAGGGAUCUUAACAAACUUUAAUCUUUUUUGAACUCUCACAUUUUGUCCCAAACAAAUACAUAUUUGUCCCAAAUAUGUACACACAUAUUUUUUAUUUUAGAGUCCUUUAAUUAAGUUUAUCAAUAUAUUUUAUGAUCUUUUUCUCACCAUUGUCUCAAGAAUCCCACUUCUUUUGCCUGGAGUUAUUUUUCUUUUUCAUUUAAUAACUUGUCGAUGACAGUCCGUGGGUAGAUUGAAGAACAAACACUUAAGACAUAUGUUAAUUUUAUUUAAGCUUUUUUUUAGACUUCUGCAAGAGAAUACAAUAUUCUUAGCUAUUGUUACAAAUAACAUAAAUCAUAUUGGAAUCUUUAUAAUACAAAGGAAAAGAAAAAUGAUAGCUCUUGUAAAAGAAAUGCAGCCACACAUAUGUCUUAAACUCCAGUAAUGUGGUUUUAAUUUAAAUUUCAGUGAAAUCUGGAAU